CUUGACGUCACGUGCACUGACGACCUUCUUCAAACCACGGCCUUACGUCGUCAAAGUCUAAAACGUCGGUCCAAAGAUAACGAGUUUGCCGACGGCGUCUACUCUGGACGAGUGGCAGACUGCGGAAAAGCUACUCACGACGUUGACGUUAGCGGAGGACGCGGCUGACUGCGUUUAAACGUCACCGACGUAUAACGAGUUUAACGUCAAAUACGAGCCCGCCACAAACAUAUGGGUGAUCUACUACGUCAGCGAGGCGGUUGCGGGGCGGUCGCUUAGCUACGACACGAACCCCUUUUACAACCUGCACAUUGAGUACAGCGACGCCGCGGGGGUCAAAGGGGCGGAGAAGAUUUUCACCGUCCAUAUUAACGAUAACAAAGCACCGACGAGCGACAACCUUAGCAGUAAGCCGAACAACAUAUGCUUGAUUAAGGACGCCUUGCGAGAAUUCUUCAGCGUUAUUUAGAUACUUUAAAAAUAAAUUCUAGUAUUACUUAUAUAGUAUUGUAUCAACUUUGAUCCAUCUUUGUAUUGCGCAUUAUGUCUUUUUGUUUGCCAAACGACGUUACUUUACUGUAUUACGUUGACGUCACUUCUUGUGUUUAUGCUUCGAAUCAUACUACUGAUGACAGCUA